GGAUGAAUGGAGCGACGCCGCGUGCGGGAUGAAGGCCCUCGGGUUGUAAACCGCUUUUUCAGGGAGCAAUUUCGAUGAGAGUACCUGAAGAAUAAGAGGUUACUAACUCUGUGCCAGCAGUAGCGGUAAUACAGAGACCUCAAGCGUUAUCCGGAUUUAUUGGGCGUAAAGCGCAGGUAGGCGGGUUUAUUAGUCGGAUGUCAAAGACCGGGGCUCAACUCCGGGAAGGCAUUCGAAACGGUAUACCUAG
rnacentral:rRNA from 1 species